rnacentral:rRNA from 1 species
CCUGCCUGCAGGGCGCGCGCAACGCUGACCUAACUGCCUACCACAUGCAAGUCGAACGAGACCUUCGGGCCUAGUGGCGCACGGGUGCGUAACGCGUGGGAAUCUGCCCUUGGGUUCGGAAUAACAGUGAGAAAUUGCUGCUAAUACCGGAUGAUGACGUAAGCUCAAAGAUUUAUCGCCCAUGGAUGAGCCCGCGUAGGAUUAGCUAGUUGGUGAGGUAAAGGCUCACCAAGGCGACGAUCCUUAGCUGGUCUGAGAGGAUGAUCAGCCACACUGGGACUGAGACACGGCCCAGACUCCUACGGGAGGCAGCAGUGGGGAAUAUUGGACAAUGGGCGAAAGCCUGAUCCAGCAAUGCCGCGUGAGUGAUGAAGGGCUUAGGGUUGUAAAGCUCUUUUACCCGGGAUGAUAAUGACAGUACCGGGAGAAUAAGCCCCGGCUAACUCCGUGCCAGCAGCCGCGGUAAU